rnacentral:snRNA from 1 species
GUGCUUGCUUUAGCAGCACAAGUACUAAAAUUGGAAUGAUACAGAGAAGAUUAGCAUGGCCCCUGAGCAAGGAUGACAUGCAAAUUCAUAAAGCAUUCCAUUUUUUU